CACGUAAGCAGAAAUUCUGCCGGGCGAGAGAGAGAAAAGAGGAGGUUGGUGGCAUCAGCUUACGGCGAUCGUCUGCCUUUGCCGUCGAAUCUCCGGUUAGCUUCAUUUAUAUUACCGAUUUUUUACUUGGAGUAGAAGUUACUUAGAAGGUUUGACCUCACCUCCCAUCUUGAUGGGUUGAAGACUAAAGGAUCCUCAUACUUGUCUGGAUUCAAAUGUACAGCUGGAGGACAGACCAUCACCGCCCAGCCGGCUGGAAUUAACUGCAGGGUCAUCUGAAAGAAACUUGAUGGCUAAAGUUAAAGCGAGAGAAGUUGUUUCGAAGCUAGCGAAUAGCAAGACGAACAUCAAGUCCAGUGCAAUCUCUUCUGUCAGAAUUGUCCCCUCUUUCUGAAUCUCUUCAAUGACGUAAUCAAAGAAAUCACUUGGGUUCUUCCGUGGUUUCUUGCGCCUCUCCUGAAGCAUAUUCCUCAGCAUCUUCAUUGCAUUUUCCCUGCCCUGCAAUAUCAUUUUCAGCAUUAGUACCAUAUCAGAGGCAGGGAAAGCUUAGAGAAUGGCUCGUGGUAUCCAUAUGAUGAUGAUUCACCUUGAGACAUUUGUGAUAAGCUGUGCCUGGAAUGUCAAACGGGAAGGAGAUCAGUCCUUGAAUAAAAGCAACGAAGUUGGCCCUUAGAUUCUCUGAUGACUUGUCUGGAUCAUGGCUGAUCAGCUUCUUCGCAUCAGCUCCACUUGAGGAAGCAUCUUCUUGAGACCAUCGUAGCCAAAGAGAGUCAAGACCAUGCUUUUAAGGAGGGAUGUCUGAGGUUGUGUUUGGCUUGAAGAACUGGAUCGUCUCGCCGAGUAGCGGGAAACCCAUCGAACCAGGUGGAAGCUUCCCUCUGCAUUUGGGAUUCCUCCAACUGUAAACCCAAUGUGUGAUGCUUAUGAGAAGCAGAGAAGCCCAAAUGAACAAUGCCCACAUCACAACAGAAACUGAAAACGUGCAGAGGAAAGAGACAAAGAGAAUAAAGAGAAGGAGAAGAAAGAGGAGUUGAGUGCUGGCGCAUCUUCGUCAAACCAUUAUGAUGAUUGCUUAAAUAGGCAAGGCAAGUCUCCACACAUAACUCUUAUUAGAUAAUAAUAAAUAAUGUCCUCAAAAAGUAGUUGCAGAAUGAAUAUGGUUUAAUCAUUAAAAAAAAAAACUGAACUCUGUUUAUAGAAACCAUAC